rnacentral:snoRNA from 1 species
GACCUCCUGAUCUCUAACCUGUCAGCCCUAAACACUGGUCUGAGUGGUUAUAAAAGGGGCAAAGGUAACAUUGAAACUGAAUAAAAAAAAAUAAAGUUUUGUUUUAAAGGGUCUAAUCAGA